UGUCUUGAUUUGGACCGGUGCUGAGAACCUCCAUGUGAAAAUAAGUUGCUCUCUGGACUGGUUGAUGGUCUCAGUUAUCCCAGUUGCAGAAAGCAGAAAUCUGUAUAUAUUUGCGGAUGAAUUACAUCUGGGAAUGGGCUGCCCUGCAAAUCGGAUACAUACAUAUGUAUAUGAGUUUAUAUAUCUUGUUCGUGAUUGUGGCAUCAGGACAAGGGUAGUUUCUGAGGAAACUCUCCUUUUUCAAACCGAGCUGUACUUUACCCCAAGGAAUAUAGAUCAUGACCCUCAGGAAAUCCAUUUGGAGUGUUCCACCUCUAGUGUUUGAUGCAGAAAUCAUGGGGAGACUAUCUGGAAUUAGUUCUUCUGUAAGCCUAUCUGCUCAAAUCCUGUACCAAGAGUCCACGAGGAUCUAGAAGGCAUAGUAUGCUGGCUCUAUGCCAUACUCCUGAAUGACUAUUCUGUAUAUGAUCAUGAUAUUAAACAGUGGUAAAACUGA
rnacentral:lncRNA from 1 species